GACGCCAUGUUACUCUCUAAAUCAACCCAGUUGAGUUGCUCACUAUAUUAUUAGAAAAUGAAGCUCUUUCAAAGGUUACAGAGAUUUUUAUGAUGCCAGCUCAACCUACCUUUCACUCUCACAGACCAACUGUGAUAUAUAAAUUAUUGUCUCUCAGCUCCAAAUCUCCCACUAUCCAUUAGGAUUCUGGCACUGAGACUGCAAAACCAUGAAAUCAGAAGAUAAUGAUUAUCUUCGUGAAAAACUACUCCUGUCUUGUUUUUAAACCCUUGUCAGAGGCUGAAUACCUGAGGCAGUUUCCUUACCAUCUGAGCCGCCAAGGAUCCGGAGGCACCAAAGAGGGGCACCCACAGGUGGCUGAGACCCUCAGAGCAACUACUGGAGUUUCAUCCUUUCCUUUCCUCAGUCUGCACCUACAGUCUGGAAGUACACAGGCACCACCAUCUCUGAUUAAAGGAUGGAGUAUAUACACUGAAUAACCAUGUUAUAUGUUGCGGUUCAGCCCAAACUAAAAUAAAUGAACCAAGAAAUCAAAGGUUGACAAGAAUCAAGAAUCAAGAAAUCAGGAUUUGCUCCUGCUCCUCUCAUGUUUAUACAUAAUUUACUUAUACAAAUUUGGCUUUUUAUCCCUACAAAUUUGACCAAUGUUAAUUUGAAAUCUUUUGUUCCCACGGCAGGUGAGAUUGUUUGUUACCUGACCAGAUAAGAAACCUAAAAUGCUAGCUGGGUGAUAAUUAACAACAACAACAAAAACAGAUGGACAAAGAAGAAAAAUAUAAUUUACCUAUUGUAGAAACAGGAAUUGAUAACAGUUAUGCACUGUCUUCCUUUUGUAUUUUAUGUAUGCACACACAUUUGCAUUCUGUCUCAUGUACACAGGUUUAUACUAACUAUUCUUAUUAAUAUUAACUACACUUUUGUCCUUACUCAUCAGUUUAUAUAAGAAUUCCUAGUGGUAUUUUGCUUUAUAACUUGAUCUUCCAAAUUAUAGACUAUUCUGAAGAGACUGGGAAUGAACGAGAAGAGUAAUUUACAUUGCUCAGAGAUGAACCCUGCGACUAUUGCCCCAAAAUCAUCCUAUGUUUCUUGGUAUUUUGUUACUCACACUUUUGUAGAGACAGUGAAAGUGCUUUAUUCAUAUAAAUGAUUAACUACAUCUUAGGGUGAAGCAUAAAUACAUUGUCAUGAUGUGAAAGUUAAAUGUAUGGAAGGGCACGUAUAAAUGUUGAUUCACCAAUGAAAUACACUGUGAUUGUUUUAGCCCAUUCCAAAUUGUACCUCCUCACUGGGAUGCUAAGACAGGACGCAUUAUAAAUACCUUUUUAAAUUUUUUUCUCAUUUUAUUUUAUAUUAGGCUCUAAGAAGAGUUGAAAAUAGGAACUAGGAAGAGUCAUUGGACUAUUUUUUCCUUUCAACUGCUAUUCUUGUCAAUGUUACUCCUGCUUCUUUUUGUUCACUAAAACUAACUUAUGUACCCUCAAAGGUAUCAGCACUAGGUAAGCAGCAACUUCCCCUCAGAGAUCUAAGCCCCAGCUUCAUUGGUACACACUUCCAAGUAUCGAUUGCUUGCAUUUGUUCCUAGAGCCCAAGAGUUGAUAGCUGUUUUUACUGCCAUUAUCUUAUUUUAUACUGAAUUUGUUUUUCUAGUUCUCUAACACCUGUAUCUGACUCUCUAAGUUAAUAACCUCUUUGUUGAAAGCCUGAUGGAAUUUCUAUACUAUUAAUAUUAACCUGAUACUGACUGUCAUGCUAUUGCUUGCAACCGGUGGCAUAUUCUAUAACCACGCUGACAUCUUGAAGAAGUUCCUUGAAUGUAUUAAAUUCACCCAUGAAUUAAUGGUUUCGCAUAUCUAUAUCCCCUUACCUGAAAUGCCUCAAACUGACUUGUUAUUCAUGAGACAGAUUGAGAGUCACUCCUUUCUUCCCUCGUUCAACCCACAAUCAAUCCUAUGGAAAGUUACUUCUUGCUAAGAUUAUAAUCUUAUAUAUCACUCUGUUAACAUUCAUUAAAAUUAGUUGGAAAAGUUCACUUAUAAAUCAUUCUCAUUAAUCUGUGUGAGUUUUGAAGGCAGAAAUCCUAUGU